AGUGAACGCUGGCGGUAGGCCUAACACAUGCAAGUCGAACGGCAGCACAGUAAGAGCUUGCUCUUACAGGUGGCGAGUGGCGGACGGGUGAGGAAUACAUCGGAAUCUACUUUUUCGUGGGGGAUAACGUAGGGAAACUUACGCUAAUACCGCAUGCGACCUACGGGUGAAAGCAGGGGAUCUUCGGACCUUGCGCGAUUGAAUGAGCCGAUGUCGGAUUAGCUAGUUGGCGGGGUAAAGGCCCACCAAGGCGACGAUCCGUAGCUGGUCUGAGAGGAUGAUCAGCCACACUGGAACUGAGACACGGUCCAGACUCCUACGGGAGGCAGCAGUGGGGAAUAUUGGACAAAGGGCGCAAACCUGAUCCAGCCAUACCGCGUGGGUGAAGAAGGCCUUCGGGUUGUAAAGCCCUUUUGUUGGGAAAGAAAAGCAGCAGGUUAAUACCCCGCUGUUCUGACGGUACCCAAAGAAUAAGCACCGGCUAACUUCGUG
rnacentral:rRNA from 1 species